rnacentral:rRNA from 1 species
UACAGAGGUCUCAAGCGUUGUUCGGAUUCACUGGGCGUAAAGGGUGCGUAGGUGGUGGAGUAAGUUUGAUGUGAAAUCUCCGGGCUUAACCCGGAAACUGCAUUGAAUACUAUUUUGCUGGAGGUUUGGAGGGGGGACUGGAAUUCUCGGUGUAGCAGUGAAAUGCGUAGAUAUCGAGAGGAACACCAGUGGCGAAGGCGAGUCCCUGGACAACACCUGACACUGAGGCACGAAAGCUAGGGGAGCAAACAGG